rnacentral:rRNA from 1 species
GACGAACGCUGGCGGCGUGCUUAACACAUGCAAGUCGAACGGAAAGGCCCUGCUUGCAGGGUACUCGAGUGGCGAACGGGUGAGUAACACGUGGGUGAUCUGCCCUGCACUUCGGGAUAAGCCUGGGAAACUGGGUCUAAUACCGGAUAGGAGCCAUUUUUAGUGUGAUGGUUGGAAAGUUUUUUCGGUGUAGGAUGAGCUCGCGGCCUAUCAGCUUGUUGGUGGGGUAAUGGCCUACCAAGGCGGCGACGGGUAGCCGGCCUGAGAGGGUGGACGGCCACAUUGGGGCUGAGAUACGGCCCCGACUCCUACGGGGGGCAGCAGUGGGGAAUAUUGCACAAUGGGCGCCAGCCUGAUGCAGCGACGCCGCGUGGGGGAUGACGGCCUUCGGGUUGUAAACUCCUUUCGCUAGGGACGAAGCUUUUUGUGACGGUACCUAGAUAAGAAGCACCGGCUAACUACGUG